CCUACGGGUGGCAGCAGUAGGGAAUCUUCCACAAUGGGCGAAAGCCUGAUGGAGCAACGCCGCGUGGGUGAAGAAGGUCUUCGGAUCGUUAAACCCUGUUGUUAGAGAAGAAAGUGCGUGAGAGUAACUGUUCACGUUUCGACGGUAUCUAACCAGAAAGCCACGGCUAACGACGUGCCAGCAGCCGCGGUAAUACGUAGGUGGCAAGCGUUAUCCGGAUUUAUUGGGCGUAAAGGGAACGGAGGCGGUCUUUUAAGUCUGAUGUGAAAGCCUUCGGCUUAACCGGAGUAGUGCAUUGGAGACUGGGAGACUUGAGUGCAGAAGAGGAGAGCGGAACUCGAGGUGUAGCGGUGAAAUGCGUAGAUAUAACGAAGAACACCAGUGGCGAAAGCGGCCUUCUGGUCUGUAACUGACGCUGAGGUUCGAAAGCGUGGGUAGCAAACAGGAUUAGAUACCCCUGUAGUC
rnacentral:rRNA from 1 species